GAUGAACGCUGGCGGCGUGCCUAAUACAUGCAAGUCGAGCGAACGGACGAGAAGUUUGCUUUUCUGAUGUUAGCGGCGGACGGGUGAGUAACACGUGGAUAACCUACCUAUAAGACUGGGAUAACUUCGGGAAACCGGAGCUAAUACCGGAUAAUAUUUUGAACCGCAUGGUUCAAAAGUGAAAGACGUUCUUGCUGUCACUUAGAGAUGGAUCCGCGCUGCAUUAGCUAGUUGGUAAGGUAACGGCUUACCAAGGCAACGAUGCAUAGCCGACCUGAGAGGGUGAUCGGGCACACUGGAAGUGAGACACGGUCCAGACUCCUACGGGAGGCAGCAGUAGGGAAUCUUCCGCAAUGGGCGAAAGCCUGACGGAGCAACGCCGCGUGAGUGAUGAAGGUCUUAGGAUCGUAAAACUCUGUUAUUAGGGAAGAACAAAUGUGUAAGUAACUGUGAACAUCUUGACGGUACCUAAUCAGAAAGCCACGGCUAACUACGUG
rnacentral:rRNA from 1 species